AGCAGCCGCGGUAAUUCCAGCUCCAAUAGCGUAUAUUAAAGUUGUUGCAGUUAAAAAGCUCGUAGUUGAAUUUCGGGAUUCAUCCGUUGGUCGGGCUUCACGGUCCGUACUGGUGUGAUGGGUUCCUACCUUCUGAAUAACCGGCAUGCCAUUAAUUUGGUGCGCCGGGGAAGCAGAACUAUUACCUUGAAAAAAUUAGAGUGCUUAAAGCAGGCAAGUGCCUGAAUAGGUUAGCAUGGAAUAAUAAAAUAGGACGGCAUGGUUCUAUUUUGUUGGUUUCUAGGAUCACCGUAAUGAUUAAUAGGGAUAGUUGGGGGCAUUAGUAUUCAAUUGUCAGAGGUGAAAUUCUUGGAUUUAUUGAAGACUAACUUCUGCGAAAGCAUUUGCCAAGGAUGUUUUCAUUAAUCAAGAACGAAAGUUAGGGGAUCGAAGACGAUCAGAUACCGUCGUAGUCUUAACCAUAAACUAUGCCGACUAGGGAUCGGACGAUGUAAUUUUUUA
rnacentral:rRNA from 1 species